GAUGAACGCUGGCGGCGUGCCUAAUACAUGCAAGUCGAGCGAAUGGAUUAAGAGCUUGCUCUUAUGAAGUUAGAGGCGGACGGGUGAGUGACACGUGGGUAACCUGCCCAUAAGACUGGGAUAACUCCGGGAAACAGGGGCUAAUACCGGCUAACAUUUUGAACCGCAUGGUUCGAAAUUGAAAGGCGGCUGCGGCUGUCACUUAUGGAUGGACCCGCGUCGCAUUAGCUAGUUGGUGAGGUAACGGCUCACCAAGGCAACGAUGCGUAGCCGACCUGAGAGGGUGAUCGGCCACACUGGGACUGAGACACGGCCCAGACUCCUACGGGAGGCAGCAGUAGGGAAUCUUCCGCAAUGGACGAAAGUCUGACGGAGCAACGCCGCGUGAGUGAUGAAGGCUUUCGGGUCGUAAAACUCUGUUGUUAGGGAAGAACAAGUGCUAGUUGAAUAAGCUGGCACCUUGACGGUACCUAACCAGAAAGCCACGGCUAACUACGUGCCAGCCGCCGCGGUAA
rnacentral:rRNA from 1 species